rnacentral:rRNA from 1 species
GCUUAACCGGAGAAGUGCAUCGGAAACUGGGAGGCUUGAGUGCAGAAGAGGACAGUGGAACUCCAUGUGUAGCGGUGGAAUGCGUAGAUAUAUGGAAGAACACCAGUGGCGAAGGCGGCUGUCUAGUCUGUAACUGACGCUGAGGCUCGAAAGCAUGGGUAGCAAACAGGAUUAGAUACCCUGGUAGUCCAUGCCGUAAACGAUGAGUGCUAGGUGUUGGAGGGUUUCCGCCCUUCAGUGCCGCAGCUAACGCAUUAAGCACUCCGCCUGGGGAGUACGACCGCAAGGUUGAAACUCAAAGGAAUUGACGGGGGCCCGCACAAGCGGUGGAGCAUGUGGUUUAAUUCGAAGCUACGCGAAGAACCUUACCAGGUCUUGACAUCUUCUGCCAAUCUUAGAGAUAAGACGUUCCCUUCGGGGACAGAAUGACAGGUGGUGCAUGGUUGUCGUCAGCUCGUGUCGUGGGAUGUUGGGUUAAGUCCCGCAACGAGCGCAACCCUUAUUAUCAGUUGCCAGCAUUAAGUUGGGCACUCUGGUGAGACUGCCGGUGACAAACCGGAGGAAGGUGGGGAUGACGUCAAAUCAUCAUGCCCCUUAUGACCUGGGCUACACACGUGCUACAAUGGACGGUACAACG